rnacentral:rRNA from 1 species
GACGUAGGGAGCGAGCGUUGUCCGGAAUCAUUGGGCGUAAAGGGCGCGUAGGUGGCCCGGUCAGUUCGUGGUGAAAGCGCGGGGCUCAACCCUGCGUCGGCCAUGAAUACUGCCGGCGGCUGGAGCACUGUAGAGGCAGGCGGAAUUCCGGGUGUAGCGGUGGAAUGCGUAGAGAUCCGGAAGAACACCGGUGGCGAAGGCGGCCUGCUGGGCCAGUUGCUGGACACUGAGGCGCGACAGCGUGGGAGCAACAGG